CGCCUGCCUACGCCCCUCGCUGCAUUUGGGCCUCACCCACCCCAGCUUCCAGCAGCGGAAGCCUGGCGGGCUGGAGGGCUGGUCCAAGGUCAAGCUGCAGAUCCCUAAAAGAGGAAGAGCUGCCGUUUUGACCCAGGCUCCCCAGCUACAGGCUCAAGAUGACCUCGCCUGUCCUUUGCAGGUACCGCCCACACGGGCAUGCCUGGACUCUGAGAAAAUAACUAAUUUGGUCUCUGCUUGGUGCCUUUUGCUGGCUGGUUUCAUGUCUGCUUCCCUGUUCAGUACCUGGAGAUUGAAAUUGCUCCACUCUCCUUACCCCCAGCUGCUCCCUGCCCCAGAACAACUCACAAGAACACACUGAGGUUCUGUCCCUCUGCCCUCCUGCCUUCUCUUCCUCAGAACCACCCCUACCAUUUACUGGCACAGAACAUUCUCCUAGGAACUGAGAGUGCAAGGAGUAAAUGGGGGCUUUCCUCUAACCACUGAACAAAACAAACCACUGGACAUCUCCACGGUUACACUUUUUUUGAGUGACUGGAGCAGCCCGUUUAUAAUUAUGGCAAGACAGUUGGCAUAGCCCAGAACUGAUCCCAGCAUAGGGGACAGAGUUCACCUCAGGCACUUGGGAGAGACCUGAGAGAUGGAUCUGCAGGCUGGGUUCAGCCAUUAUCUAGUGUGUGACCUUGGAAAAGUCACUUAAUGUUCCUGAAACUCAGUUACAUAAUUUUGGAAACUAAGGACUGAAAAUUGUCCAGAUGUCCUUCUCUUCAAGGUUAGAGCAACUUUAGAAGAAACAGUGACCUGUUUUAGCCUAUGCACUGAUAGACACCCAAUGUAUGAUUUUAGACACUCGCCCCCUAGUUCUAAAUUGACAGGAUUGCAGUACCAAGAGAAAAACGUGUCUAUGGGUGGUGACCCAAAUCGCUCAUUCCCCCUUUCCUCUCCCUUUCUCUCCCUUGCUCUUCAAACACGUGCCAAAGCCUCAUUAAAGACGGAAAACCAGUCCAUUAGGUGCAAAUGCAUGGAAACAUAUUCAUGAUUAUUCAAAUGAAGCCGUGUAAAAUAAUCAGCGCUGCCUUCAUGCAUAUUCAUCGUCACCAUGCUAAUCACUCAGUAAUCUCACAAGAGGGUGUGCCCCUCUAAUCCGGCUCCCUUUCCCCUCUCCCUGCUCCUCCCUUUGUCUGAGACUUUUUCUCCGCUCCUAAGCCUCCCAAGGUCUUCUUAGGUCUUCACAAUCUCAUUCUGGGGAAAGAUAUUUCUGGUUCCGAGCUAAAGGUUGCUUUAUUUAUCUCCAUCGGAAGAUGAUUCUACCAGAAGGUUACCCUUCUUCUGUGAAGCAUGCCUGGUUGUGGUUCAACAGCAUCGGUACUUCCUGAUGCUUCCUGCGAUGGAGAAGAGGUUCUCUUCACCAUAUGGGCACUGGGCAGAGCACCGUGCUGGGCUGAGGGGAUCACCCACAAGGACACUUCACAGUCAAGGGCAGGAUGAAGACAAGGGAAAUGAUG
rnacentral:lncRNA from 1 species